UAUCACAUAAGAAACUCAAAUAUUGCUACAAAAUAUACAUUAUAAUGGAUUUGAAAUUUGCUGUAACCAAAUAUCACAGAGACUGGAGGAAAAAGAGGAGAUUCAUGCAUCUCUGGAUUAGUAUAGGGCACAACUUCUCAAAAUGUGAUCUGGAGUGCACAAAAUCCUUUCAGGGAGAAUGGAGAUCAAAACUAUUUUCAUAAUAGUACUAUGACAUUGUUUGCCUUUUUCUCUCAUUCUCUUACUGGUCUACAGUGGAGUUUUCCAGAGGCUACAUAGUAUGAAGAUGUGAUGACAUCAUAGCUCAGAUGGCUAAUGGAAUCUGUGCUAGUAUACAUUUUUAGAAGUUUUCAGCUUUAAUUUUUAAUAUGAUAAUAUUGAUCAGUUAACUCUCAUAAACAAAAUUGGGGUCCUCAGUAAUUUUUAAGGAUGUAACGGGGUCCGAAGAUCAAAAUGCUUGAAAACUGCUGGUGUGUAGGGUGUGCUCCCUCUGCAACGUUCCAUGCUGCUGUUUACUCUUCACUCUAUUUUAAAGAUCCCCCAUAUUGCUGUCCAUACAUUUCGUUCUACAUUUAUCCACCACAUUUUACUUAGUCUCUUAUAGCUCUGUGCAAGAAUUUCUCUAGAGUAAUUUCAUGAAAUACUUCCAGAAUAAAUACUUCUCAGAAUAGCUGUAUGAGUUGACACCCUCGCCAGCAGUCCUAGUGAGUACCCAUUUCUCCACAUCCUUACCAACACUUCAUUCACCUUUCUGAUUUUGCCAUUCUGAUUGUCAUAAAGUGGCAUCUUCCUGUUCAAAUUUUGCAUUUCUCGCAUUUUAUUUUUUUGAUCUUUUUCUUUUGAUCGGUCUUGCCAGAGUUCUGCUUAUCAUAUUAAUCCAAGAAUCAGCUUCUAAUUUUUUAAAAUGUCCUUCUCUUUACCGUGUAUCAUUGAUUCUUGCUUUCAUCCUUAAAUUUUUUUUCUGUCUGGGUUCUUUGUGUUUGAUUCUUGAUUUGAAUUUCCCUGAUGAUUAGUGAUAUUGAUCAUCUUUUCAUGUGCCUAUUGGCUAUCUGUAUAUCUUUUUUGUAAAACUGUCUGUUCAUAUCCUCUACCCAUAUUUUUGAUCAGCUUGUUUGUUUUGUUGUUGUUGUUGAGUUGUGUGAGUUCUUUAUAUAUUUUGGAGAUUAACCCCUUGUCA
ensembl:lncRNA